rnacentral:rRNA from 1 species
UACGGGGGGGGCAAGCGUUGUUCGGAAUUACUGGGCGUAAAGGGCGCGUAGGCGGCCUUCUAAGUCGGACGUGAAAUCCCUCGGCUUAACCGAGGAACUGCGUCCGAUACUGAAAGGCUUGAAUCCGGGAGAGGGAUGUGGAAUUCCAGGUGUAGCGGUGAAAUGCGUAGAUAUCAGGAGGAACAUCGAUGGCGAAGGCAGCCCCUUGGACCUGUACUGACGCUCAUGCACGAAAGCGUGGGGAGCAAACAGG